GUGGAUGGAAAGGAUUUCGAGACGAUGUGAAAAUUGCCAGGAACAAAAUCGGGCGUAUCAGACAGUGGAGAAUUUUUUUGCUGAAGAACAAGUUCAUGUCCAUGCUGGACCAGCCGUUGAUGACAGUGCUGAAGCAACAGUUGAUGUUGAUGCCGGCGCAGCAAAUGAUGGCGCUUUGGAGCCCGCACCCGGCAUAGCAGGUCUUGACCCUGUGGGUGGCACCAGACUUGAUCUUCCGUGUGUCAUACAGGUGCGUGGUUGUUCCAGGCUGGUUUUUUACUGAACUUAUCUCUUAUAAAUACUCACCGCUGGCUGGCUUCUGUGUACAAUACUCAAUAGCCUCUAGUAUGAUCGUUGUGCGGCUAAUGACAUUUUUAUGUGCGUCUCUGACUCGUUGCAGCCGAAAAAUGAGCCCUGUGUGACAUCAGAGCAUGCUGUCUACUCCUCUAGUUUCCCACAUGCACACUAUAUAACUUAAAUGUUGUGUUUGCCGCAUUUCUGUCAUAUUCCACCUAUUACCAUGUUGAAUUAUGCGUGAAAUAUACUGUUGCUAGGGCCGUUGCUAAGGACGCCAUUGUUGCCGUCAUUUGGAAUUUUGAAAAAAAACUUUUAUGUUC